CUGAUCCAGCUCUGCUAUGGCCUGGGAUAGCAGUAGAAGAUGGCUCAAGGCUCUGGGCCCCUGCACCCACGUGGGAGCCCAGAAGAAGCUCCUGGCUCCUGGCUUUGGAUCGGCACAGCUUCAGCCAUUGCAGCCAACUGGGGAGUGAACCAUCAGAUGGAAGACCUCUCUCUCUCUCUCUCUCUGCCUCUGCCUUUGCCUCUCCUCUCUCUGUGUAACUCUGACUUUCAAAUAAAUAAAACAAUCUUUAAAACAAAACAAAACAAAACAAAACAAAACAAAACUGUUAUCUCUCUGUCUCGGUGCUGUAGCACAUUUUCCAGCUCCCGAAGCUCAAAUGGAGGCAGAGAAGAGCUCCCUCAGGCACUAUGUUUCCUGAGAGUGCUGGAGUGGUGGGGUGCAGAACAAGGAUUCUAUCAGAGAACUCAUCUGGAAGGGAUCAUAUAUCAUGAUUCUAUCCAUACUCAUCAUUGUCAAGGUGAAUGGGAUUGACUCCUGGAUCCAUCACUCCAGAUUCAAACUGUAGACAUCUCAAUGCAAAGAGCAAGAUCAGGAAAAGAUGACCCACCCAGACACGUACACCUGUGAGCUCACUGAGAACCUCCUCUUCAAAGGUCAUAUCUGAUGGUGACAAAUGAAAAGUGUGCUUGAGAGAACAGCAUGAUGUUCAUGCACCUGUGUUUCUAGCUGGCGGUUUCACAGACGUCUGUGACUACAAUGACCACUUUAAAAACCACUGAUAGGAGUAAGACUGCUCCUUUCAGCUGCUGUUUGGAAUUCAAGGACAGCAGAAGAAAACGCUACCUGCCAAGUGCUCAGGUUUCUUGGCUCUCUGCUGUGGCCUGGGAAAGCAGUGGAAGAUGGCCCAAGUCCUUGGGCUCCUGCACUCAUGUGGGAGACCUGGAAGAAACUCCUGGCUUCGGAUCGGCGCAGCUCUGGCUGUUGCAGCCAACUGGGGAGUGAACCAGCAGAUGGAAGACCUGUCUCUCUCUGCCUCUCC